UACGGAGGGUGCAAGCGUUAUCCGGAUUCACUGGGUUUAAAGGGUGUGUAGGCGGGUAUUUAAGUCAGUGGUGAAAUCUCCAGGCUCAACCUGGAAACUGCCAUUGAUACUAUUUAUCUUGAAUCUUGUUGAGGUGGGCGGAAUAUAUCAUGUAGCGGUGAAAUGCUUAGAUAUGAUAUAGAACACCGAUUGCGAAGGCAGCUCACUAAACAAGCAUUGACGCUGAGGCACGAAAGCGUGGGGAUCAAACAGG
rnacentral:rRNA from 1 species